GAUGAAGAACGCAGCGAAAUGCGAUAAGUAAUGUGAAUUGCAGAAUUCAAUGAAUCAUCGAAUCUUUGAACGCACAUUGCGCCCGCCAGCACUCUGGCGGGCAUGCCUGUUCGAGCGUCAUUUCAACCAUCAAGCCCCCAGGGGCUUGUGCUGGGGCCCUGCGGCUGCCCGCAGGCCCUGAAAACCAGUGGCGGGCUCGCUAGUCACACCGAGCGCAGUAGCACAUCUCGCUCAGGGCGUGCGGCGGGCUCCUGCCGUGAAACCCCCCACUGUAACCCCAAAGGUUGACCUCGGAUCAGGUAGGAAUACCCGCUGAACUUAAGCAUAUCAAUAAGCGGAGGA
rnacentral:misc_RNA from 1 species